UACACUUGUCUUUAUCUACCUAUUUACUUUGCAAUCUAUUCUACUAAAAUAGAUGUCAUGAUUUUUUUCAUGUGUGAUUUUUUUUAAUUUUGACCAUCCUUUAAAAUUUUAUUAAAUGUAUUUUAUUUAAACAAAUAAAACAUAAAAUCUAUGAACUACUUUAAUCAUAAUAUAUUUUGAUAUCUUUUCAUUUUAAAUAUAAAAAUAUAUAUUUUUUGAAAAUUUAACAAAUCUGUUUGAAAAGAUUUUAACAAGAUCUUAUUUUUUAAAAACUAUAUGUAAAUAUUUUCACUAAUUUUGUAAUUAGUUUUGAAAUAUUAUUAUACAUUAAUAUAUGGAAAAUUCUUCUAAAUAGCCAUUUUUAAUAAUUGUCUCAAAAUUAGCCUCUCAAGUUGGGAAUCAGAAUAAUAGCCUUCAUUAAUAGAGCUAAAGACUAUAAUGUCCUUCUUUCAACUGUGAUAUUAUCUCGACCAAAAAAAAAUAUGGUGAAGUAAUCUCCAGCGACGAGUCACCUCCGGCGACGAGCUGUUGAAGUCCAAUGGGGAACGAAGCGGUGAUUAUCCAUGUCGACGAAACGAGCUGUGUAUUGAUCUGUUUUAAUCAUUAUUGACAGUGGUUUACAAAGAAAAAUUCCAAUCUCAAUUCGAAAACUUAGGGUUUUCGAAUUGAAAUUUGGGGGUUUCGAUUUUGUAGUUCUUCAUAUAAUAGAUUUGAGCUUGUUUUGUUGUUCAAAUCAAACUGAGAGAACAUAAUCAUAAUUAAAAGAAGAAAUCUCGCGAAAGCUUCAUUUGCAGAACUUGGCUUAUGGAAGAAGACGAGUUCGUGACCUUGCUUUUUUGAAUGAGACAGAGCCACCGAAUGAAACACUUGCCUUUCCAUUGUCUCCACAGAGUGGGACUCAAGUUUUUUCUCCUAAAGUGACAGAACACAUAUAUGCUCAAAUCUUGUUUUGCAUUUGGAGUUUUGAAGUAGUUUUUAAGCUUUUGUACAUAGUCAUGAUAGCCUUUCUUAUUUUUUUUUUGUAGAAAGACAGAGCCAUCGAAUGCGACACUUUCCUCUCCAUUGUCUCCACAGACUGAGACUCAAGUUUUUCCCCAUAAUGUGACACAACACAAUGAGACAGAGUCAUCGAAUGAGGCCCCGUCCAAUCAAAAACCAGCGGAAGAAUAACUUGACAAUGAUACUGACAAAGAGCCAUCAAAUAAGACGCCAUCCAAGCCGAAUCAAGCAGAAGAAAAGAUUUCAAGAAAGAGCAUAAUCGGAGUUACAAAGAAUGAAUUACAGAAAGCUUCAUCUACAGAUAAUUUUGGCUUACAGAGGAAGACGAGCUCAUGACUUUGCUUUUAGGAUAGUAACACGCUGGGAAAUUCAUUACCUCUCAGACUAACACUAUCUGAGCUGAAAUAUCAUAUUGGUUCAGAGCCAAGGCAAAACAAUUGGAGAUUUAUGUUGCUUAUUGAAAAUGUUUACAUUUCGAAUGUAAAAAGAAAGCAUUUUACAUAUUCUGGAUGACUUUACAAAACCAAAAAAAAUAGAAAAAAUGUUAUAGAUGAUUGGAAAGCA